AAAAGAGUAUUUUAAGAGACUUCUAAGUUCUUGGUCAGGGGUUCGAUUCCUCUCGGGCGCGCCA
rnacentral:tRNA from 1 species